AAGUUUUGAAGUUGUUUUCUACUAUAAAGAAAUCUUGUGUUGACUGAAUUAGUUUAAAAAAAUAUUUGUUUGUGUUUGCAUCCACUGGGAGAACUCCCUCCCGAAAGAGAGCGUUCCCCCAACGAACAAAAGAAUAGUAGUAAAGUAAACUCCACUGUGUGUAGUAAUUAGAAAGUGUCGAGUCGUGUGAUAAAACACCUCCUUUGGAAUAGAGAGAUCCACGCACACUCCCAGGUCUUUGUCGGCUCCCUCCCCCCACUGCAGAACACCCACCAACCGCGCACUUAAGCGCAGGCAGGAGAAAUAGCAUUCACAGCAGAGAAAAUAUUUUAGGAGCCUCCUGAGUGUCUACACUGGUCCUCCCCAGAGAUGUCUCUCUCCGAGCUCAGACAAAUCAAUUAAAUUUCUUUAAUGAUCCU
rnacentral:misc_RNA from 1 species